rnacentral:rRNA from 1 species
CGCGUAGGCGGGGAGGUAAGUCGGGUGUGAAAUCCCUCGGCCCAACCGAGGAACUGCGCCCGAGACUGCUUCUCUUGAGUCCCGGAGAGGAAGGUGGAAUUCCCGGUGUAGCGGUGAAAUGUGUAGAGAUCGGGAGGAACACCGGCGGCGAAGGCGGCCUUCUGGACGGUGACUGACGCUGAGGCGCGAAAGCGUGGGGAGCAAACG